rnacentral:rRNA from 1 species
AUUGAACGCUGGCGGCAGGCUUAACACAUGCAAGUCGAGCGGAGAUGAGGUGCUUGCACCUUAUCUUAGCGGCGGACGGGUGGGUAAUGCUUAGGAAUCUGCCUAUUAGUGGGGGACAACAUUCCGAAAGGAAUGCUAAUACCGCAUACGUCCUACGGGAGAAAGCAGGGGAUCUUCGGACCUUGCGCUAAUAGAUGAGCCUAAGUCGGAUUAGCUAGUUGGUGGGGUAAAGGCCUACCAAGGCGACGAUCUGUAGCGGGUCUGAGAGGAUGAUCCGCCACACUGGGACUGAGACACGGCCCAGACUCCUACGGGAGGCAGCAGUGGGGAAUAUUGGACAAUGGGGGGAGCCCUGAUCCAGCCAUGCCGCGUGUGUGAAGAAGGCCUUAUGGUUGUAAAGCACUUUAAGCGAGGAGGAGGCUCCUUUAGUUAAUACCUAAAGAGAGUGGACGUUACUCGCAGAAUAAGCACCGGCUAACUCUGUGCCAGCAGCCGCGGUAAGAC